UACGUAGGGGGCAAGCGUUGUCCGGAUUUAUUGGGCGUAAAGAGCGUGUAGGCGGCCUGACAGGUCUGCUGUGAAAACUCGAGGCUCAACCUCGAGAUGUCGGCGGAAACCGUCUGGCUAGAGUCCGGAAGAGGAGAGUGGAAUUCCUGGUGUAGCGGUGAAAUGCGCAGAUAUCAGGAAGAACACCUAUGGCGAAGGCAGCUCUCUGGGACGGUACUGACGCUGGGACGCGAAAGCGUGGGGAGCGAACAGG
rnacentral:rRNA from 1 species